UACGAAGGGGGCUAGCGUUGCUCGGAAUGACUGGGCGUAAAGGGCGCGUAGGCGGUUUGUACAGUCAGAUGUGAAAUUCCUGGGCUUAACCUGGGGGCUGCAUUUGAUACGUGCAGACUUGAGUGAGGAAGAGGGUUGUGGAAUUCCCAGUGUAGAGGUGAAAUUCGUAGAUAUUGGGAAGAACACCGGUGGCGAAGGCGGCAACCUGGUCCUUGACUGACGCUGAGGCGCGAAAGCGUGGGGAGCGAACAGG
rnacentral:rRNA from 1 species